AACACAAUUUGGAUGAAACAGG
rnacentral:miRNA from 1 species